UAGGCAGGUACAGAGAGAUGCUACCGGGCGACCGGAUGCGGAUCUCGAAAGCCUGUCCCAGUUCGGACUGGAGUCUGCAACCCGACUCCACGAAGUUGGAUUCGCUAGUAAUCGCGCAUCAGCCAUGGCGCGGUGAAUACGUUCCCGGGCCUUGUACACACCGCCCGUCAAGCCAUGGGAGCCGGGGGGCGCCUGAAGUCCGGGACCGCGAGGACCGGCCUAGGGCGAAACUGGUAACUGGGGCUAAGUCGUAACAAGGUAUC
rnacentral:rRNA from 1 species